AUGCCAGCUCCAUGCCCAGAAACUCUCCCUAACGGAUAUUUAUUAACUUUAAGCAUAAUUGGUGGAAUUUCCAUUCCAAUGAAUUUACUAGCGCUUUAUAUGAUUUGGUUUCAGUCACCAGGCAUGCAUGGAUAUAAAUAUUGUCUUACUUAUAUGCAGCUGGAGAAAUAAUACGUAAAUUUGUGAGUAAUCAUACGGGCGUCACAAUCUGGAUUUUUUUGUUUUGUUUUCUGCUUCCUGCAAGCUUAUUGUGUUUAUUCUAUAGGCAUAAUGCAGCUUCAAAAAUUAAUCAGAGUGGCUCAAACAACCUUUAUCUCGAGAAGCUUGUGAUGAUUUUAACUCAUAUUUUCCCAUUUCUCACCGCCUUCGGCACCUGGAACUGUCAAAUGACCUUCGCGCAGAAAUAUGAGUACUUGAGUCAAAACUACCCAGAGUGCUUAUUUUGGUUAGCAUCUGAUAGAUUUGAAGCUUAUGACUAUAAGAUGAAUCCUUGGAUCGUUUCAACAGCAGCUGCGGCGAUUACGUUUUUGGUUAUUACUGCAAGCUACGGAGGAUACCAUGGCAUCCAUACGAUGAUUAUCCUUCAACGCCUCCGUGCUCACAUGUCAGUGCAGACCUACCAGAUGCACAUCACAGCUCUAAUCAGUUUGGCACUGCAAAUGCUCACUCCGUCGGUUUUUGCUGUUCCGGUGUAUGUGUGGGUAACAGUGGUUUUAACAAAUGCUAUUGAUCUUCAAGGAAUAGUAUCCUGGUCACCAUGUCUAAUGUCAACACAUUCAAUUUUGAUGAGCUCUGUGAUGAUUGUGACAAAUGCAACAUACCGUAGAGUUUUGAAAGAGAAGAUCUCAAAAUUAUUUAUGCUGACGAGGCUUAUCGGUAAUCAAUUGGGAAGUGAAGUGGAGCCGAGCAUGAGGGCUCCUAUCAGUUUUGGGAGACCUGCUCCGAUUUCAUAA
rnacentral:misc_RNA from 1 species